rnacentral:lncRNA from 1 species
AUGGAGGAGGACCUCAGCCACCAGUCACAGCUCUGGAAGUCUUGGACACACACACACACAUACACACACACGAAACCGCUGUGGAACCUGGAAGCAGCAUCUGGCCCCCUCCCCAACGGAGCUGGGGCAGGACAUCCUCCUCCCUCUCCCCAAAACCACACAGUGACCCUGGCCUGGCCCUCUGCGCCCAGGAGGAACAGGGUCCCCAUCAGGCAUCUCGGAGCUGGCUUUCACAUCGAUGGAGCACAAAGGGGGCUAGCCGGGCAGAGAAAGAGCCCGACAGGCCAGGAGCCGGCUCCACGGGCGCUUUUCUCCCCGCUUUCUUCCUCUCUGGGCUCUUUGUUAAGCUCCCUUUCAGCUGAGCCGGCAGAGCCUGGGUGUUCCGAGCUGACAAUAAUUGCUGCGUCUAGACAGUGUCUGACACACUCACCCUAUUGGGUCCCCAGGCCUGAAAUCCAGGGAACAAAAGUGGAUUUGCAUUUGGCUCCAGUUGGCAGGCCUUGGAGAAGGCCGAGUCCAGCCAACCCUCCUGACUGUGGACUUGCCCAGGAUCCCAGGCGGUCCACCUUGCUGAAUUCUGGGCUAACCUGGAAAGCUCUGGGAUUCACCCUGCUCCCUCCCUCAUCUUUCCACCCAUGCUUGGAUGGGAACCCAGAGGAAUCACCAGAGGUCCAAGGAAGAACCUUCUGGCAGCUCUCACCAUCAGUGAGGGAUAGACUGCUUUCAGGAAAUGCAGGGAGUGGGAAGUGGAUUUUCACAAGUUCUAAGAUUUGUCCCUGCCCCCGCUCCGAUCAGUCAUUCUGGAAGGUUUUCCAGAAUCUGAAGUCUCCUCACUUCUCAAUUCUAGGAUCAGAAUUGAGACCCUAG